rnacentral:tRNA from 1 species
GAAAAGGUAGUUUAUUUAUUAAAAUUUUUAGUUGUGAGCUAAGAGAUAGGGUUUUAUCCUCUUUUUCA